GGAAGCUCCUAUGCCACCACGUCUGUCUUUGACAGACAGGUCGACUUGAGAUCAGGCUCCGCCCCCACCUAUAUUACUCAGGUCGACCCCUACGAAGUCAUUCUCGCUUUCUUCCCGUGAGGGACUACAAGCUCUCUCAGCACGUCCGACCUUUUUGCUGAUUUCGCUUAACUGUUCAACUGGCGGGCCGUCAUCGGAGUACGCUACCGAACGCGACAUCAGUGGAUUGGAUUGGUACUGUGUUGAGUGUCACACCGAAUAGUGUCCGCGUCAAGGCGAGCUAUUCUCUUCAAAAUAUCGCGUGUUAUCACGACGAUAGGAUUUUCAGUGGUGUCAAGCCACCGUAGGCUUUACGCGUCAGGGCGAGCCGCGAAAAGGGCUAACUACGUUACCCUGUGAACCAUUAAUCGGACUAACGUGUUGUGACGAGUCUUCGAAUCACUCUUUCUCUCUCCAGCCGUCAUGUCGACAGUCAUUACCCCCGCCAAAGGGAAUGAGUCGAAGAAGGAACCCGCACCCCGCCCGUGUCCAUCAUCAUGUGGAGCAACCGUCUCGGGCAGGGAUCCCCAUCCCAUGUGCAUCGUGUGCAUGGGCGCUAAGCACGCUCAAACGUCGCUUGCGGACCCACAGACGUGCGUUCACUGUGCGUCAUUGCCGGUUAAAAUUUUGGAGAGAAGGCUGAGAGUGGCGGUGGCUAGUCAGCAGGACCCAUGUCUGGCUGGAGCCAUCGCGAAAACUAAGGCUAACGAUCAUCAGCGAGCUACUACGAAGAGCUGGGCUGAGAUGAUGGAAGCCGAAUCCCCGGAUAUGCCUCCUCUGUUCGAUGGCCUUCUCGCACACGAGGAUGAGGAGCCGGGAGACGAGGACGCAGAGGGCGAUGCUAACUCUGACCUCCUCGACUUGGACAUGGACGAAGAGGAGGAAGAAGACAACUCUCUCUUCCCUGUCCAGCAGUCUAGACCUCCUAGCGCGACUGACACUGGCUCUCAGGCAGACAGUAACCUGCACGAGGUAUGCAAGCGAGCCGCUGCAAAACUGGGCCUAGCGUGGCCCGCGGCCCAAGAUUCAGAAGGAGCAGAGAGGGACCUUUAUGACGGGAAAAGGCUACCGCCUGCUCAAACCACAACGAGACAGCUCCUACCCGCCGUGCCGGCGUGCAUGAAGGAGAUGUCCCGCCAUUGGGGUAGCCCCUUUAAGAGCAAGCUCCCGACCAAGGGAUGCUCUAAACUUGAGAUCCAAGGAAUGGGAGAGCUGGGGCUGGCCGGACCCCCAGCGAUAGAGUCUUCAGUGGCCUAUCACCUCCAUCCAUAUCGUCGAUCUAUUUCUGCCUCUUCCCAAAUUUCGCUGCCGAACAAGAUGGAGCGCCUGACCGCGUCCAUCUAUCAGAGGAUGUACAAGUAUGCGGCGCAGUCAGUGUGCUCGCUGAACGCGGUGACUUUACUGUCAGCGUACCAGGCGGAGAUUUUGGAGGAGAUGGGGCGACAAUUAGAUACAGGAGUGCCGAACCCAGCUCUCUGGGACGAGAUAUGUGUGGUAAACGACCUAAUUCUCCGCUCAUCUCGUGGCGCAGUUCAGGGCUGUGGCCGUGUUAUGGGCUUGGCCGUUUCAGGUGAGAGAGCGUUAUGGCUGAACCUGUCUGGUUUAGGCGACGCUCAAAAAGCUGAGGUGAUGGACGCUGCGUUCGACCCAACUAAGGGCCUUUUCGGACCAGCUCUCGAGAAAAUGAGAGAAACCAGCACCCUCAGGAAACAGGAGGAUGAGGCUUUUAACCUCUGUUUACCGCGCAAGCAAACACCGCGACCACCCUCUCAGCCAGCACGGCAAGGUUUUGCAGCAGCCGCUGCGGCGAGAGGAAGACAGAUGGGAGCUAGGAGUGUGAGACCGCCUCCCAGCGGACAGCAGGUGGGCUAUCGUCCGAGAUCUGAUGGCUCCGGACCCGGGGGGAAACAUUCAUUUGCGGCCGCGGCGGCGAGAAACCGCCCACCCCACCCCGAGGAUCGGAAGAAGAAGCGUGCGACCUGACACGCGAAUGUUCCCCGUCACUUCUCUCUCCGCCCGCAAAGAGAAAGAGGGGGUCCAGCCCUGUUGUUCUCAGUUCAGUAAGGGCUCCAGCUAUAAGCAAUCAUGUUCAAAACGUUCUCAAGUGUCACCAAGCACUUACACUGGGUUUUCAAACACCCAUCAGUUCAGGGGAAUGUUUAAUAAAAAAUGCAUUAUCGCAUCC
rnacentral:lncRNA from 1 species